UAAGCAGAAUGCUUAUGCUCAUGGAAUAAUAAUACUUUUUCAGCUGAGAAGGGACUCUUGUAUCAAAACAAUCCUGCCCCAAAGGGUUUAUGUGGACAAAAGGAUGACGACAUGAUGUAUUCUGCAUGGUGUUGAGCUAGUGUUUGGGGUACCAGUUCCACCUACAUUAGUUUAAUGGGGGAGAUCUUCAAAUGUGGGAACUGCAGUUAGCUUGGAAGUAGAGUUGAGAUCAGUUGCAGCAGGGACUGUGCAUAAAGCCAAAAACUAAAGGAGGUUCCCGGUCUACCUAGGCUGAGUCACUCUGUCUUUCUUUUUUAUGUCAGCAUGCUCCUUCUAGAGUUUUCCUAACUUUGAAAUAUAUACACAUCAAAUCUUCCCACAAUUUGAUGUCGGCCCUCUGGAACCCCCCUGAUGGACCCUCUUGGACUACUUAAAGGAACUAAGUCAGAUGGCUGUGACUCAGCUGAGUCCCGUGAUGAUCACUUUCCUUUCUCCCCACAGCUUGGGGACGGAGCUGUAGACUGGGGAUUAGAUAAUGCUUGGGAUCAGUGAUCUAACAUUCCCCUCCCACAGACAUACACACAGACAUUUUGCUUCGUCAUUGGCACAGGAGCAGGUCAGUAUGGGGUGAUUUGCAGCCUGCAGAAUCCAGGCUCGAGUCAGAGUUCUUCAGGUCCUGUGACUAUGAGAAAUAAUUACUCUGCUCCUCGGGAGGAAGGAGACAGUCCUUUCUCCUAACCCGAGAGUCACUGAAAGAAUAUUUCAGGCUGUCAAGUAUCAGGGGGUAGCCGUGUUAGUCUGUAUCUACAAAAACAACGAGGAGUCUGGUGGCACCUUAAAGACUAACAAUAUAAUUAUUAUAAUGCCUGCAUCUGUAACUUUCACUCUAUGCAUCCGAAGAAGUGAGGUUUUUACUCACGAACGCUUAUGCCCAAAUAAAUCUGUUAGUCUUUAAGGUGCCACCAGACUCCUUGUUGUUAUUUCAGGCUGGGAUUGCAGGGAGCUUAGAUCUGAAACGUUUACUCAUUGCUGUGUUAGGUUGGAUUGUGUCAGAGCUCUCCUUCCUGCUUUCUUCAUAUCAGUGUCAGCUCUCAUGCAGUUAUCUCCUGCUUCUGCAUGCCUUCUGGGGUCCUACAGGUGAAUGGCCAGAAUCAGAAAAAUCUCUAUGUAAGACUGGAUGUAGAGGGAAUUUUCUUUCUCUCUCAAGGUCACAGGCAGGAGAGAAAGCAGCAGCCAGUCUUAUUUUCAUAUUUUGAGGUUAAGCUAUCCUGAAGGUUAGCUGUGAAAUGUCAGGAUUCUUACACAGGACAGCUAAUCAGUCAACACCAAUUUUAAUUGGAGCAUCAAUUAGUGUUAUACAAAUAUAAGAACUUAAGAACCAGAGAGUGAGAAAAAUAUAUAUUUUUUACAUAUACACCAGAGUGUGUUCUUUAGGAAAUAUUACCUGUGGCCAUCUCCUUAAAUUAAAGAAUUCAAAUGUGGCUAGUUUUAAGUGCCUUAUUUACAAUAAUGUUUUUGCUUUUCUAAAGAUCAUUCAAGAACCUUUAUACAGUGGUAAAACAGUCUGUAGAACCUGCCUCUCAAGCACACUGACAUGCAAAAUAAACAGGAAGUGAGGUCACUUAUCAUGGGGAAAAUAUACAACAGCAAAUAAACUGGCUGGAACAGCCCUGAACUGGAAUGGGGGAUGGGCCAAAGCAAAACCAGGGAGGGACCCAAAAGCCUCUGAAGUUUGAGGAGGUUAAACUCUGGAUAUAAAUUGCUGCUUAAAUCUAUCUCUAGAUUUAAUAGAUCUUUUCCAUUCCUAAUUUGUAUGAUACCUUUAUAACAGCCUCUACAUUUAAACCUCUCUUGGCUGCUGACAAUAGGGUUGCCAACUUUCUAA